AUGUUAAUAAAAUUUGUAUAAACUUUUGAAUUAAAACACUAGCGCCGCCACACCAAUUUAUCCCAACUACCCGAACAGAAAGCAAUAUCGAAAUUGAUCGUAGAAACGUUGAAUUUACAACAGUUUUAUUUGUUAACAACUUUUCUUGUAACAUCAAUGUGCUUAUGAUGCAGUCCUUCAUGCCUCCAAAAUCUUCAUUUGUCUUCAAUGGCCAGGAUUCUGAAUCGGUUAUUGAUUUUGAGCAAGAAUUCUGCCAGAAGUCAGUCAGACAUCCGAAUGAAUUUGUCUUCAAUAUGAAAAACUCGUAUUCGCAACAUUUCAAAUGUCUUCAAAAUGAAGACAAAUCUUCAAAUCUGGCAUCUCUGAUGUAAAUCGAUGUUUUUGAUUUCAGAAUGUAUGGGAAAAGAUCAAUUUUUGCAUUGUUACAUCUCUUAACGACCCCCCUUUUUCCAUGUAAAAAUCGGGUUUACAAUGAAAUAGGCAUCUUUAGGGGGUGUGCGGAUUAAGGCAUAUCCUGAUGCAGAAUAGUACCGUGAGUUAAUAUCUCAGUCCUUUUUAAAUUUUUAAGCCCGAAACUAUCGAAAAAAACAUUUUUUAGUUUGUUUCCUUUUAGGACAAUAACACAUCCAAACCCAUGUGACUUGCACGACUCUAUAGGUUGCCUUUUCAGAUCUACCACAAAAACCGAUUCCGACUCUAUCGGUUGGAAUUCAUGCUGGAAGUCCGAAUUGGAUCCGGACUAGUUUGACUGGUAGAGGAGUAACCGCUGUCAAUUCAGUCGAACUCAGCCACAAAAAAACAUGACGACAGUAGCGCACCUGGUUUGGAAAUCCCAACUACCUUCGAAACCGUUAGAGAUUUUACACAAGUUGAAUGCUGAAGAUGGACGUCUGUUCUCUGUGAAUAUACGUGAAGAGGGGUUUUUUAGCGAUUUUUUUAGAAAGUUUGGUGCAGAGAAUUAAUCAAAACUUUUUACAUUAUAAUGUUCUAUGCAAAAAUAUUGACAAGCGACGCGGUGACGUAGCUUCUUGUAGAAUGUCUCUGGAAAACACGAUUUGCAGUGUUAAUUGCCAUUCAAAAACUAGUUAACCAAUUUAUUUCAAACUUUGCAUACACAUUCUAUGUAUAAAAUACCUAACACCCCUACGUUGAGUUUUCGAGAUAAUUUUUCAAUUAAGGUGGGUUGUGGAAUACCACUUAUCUUCUAUCAGGUAUAGCAUCAAAGUAUAACUCAUUGUUAUGUUUAUUCAAGCAAAUCAAAUUCAAUGAGUUGGCUUUUUCAUAUAUUAUACCAUAUUUCUAGAAAAUUCAUCCAGAUUCCGCUACUUUAAAUUGACAGUCGAACGGGAGAGUGUGCGAGCGAGACUCGCAUUGCUUUUAGCUGCUAGAGUACGGCAUGCUAUUGACUGCUGGUGAUACUGGUUCUAGAAGUGUCUUGGUACUGUUCGUGGCUUUUCAUGCUGGUGAUGGAGUUAGAUCUUGCUGACAUCUCUGAGCAUCAUGAUGUUAGGAUUAAGAUCCCCAGAUGUAUAUACGUAUCGAGAUAUGACUACCUGAGCUGACACCACUAAAGCGGGUUCUAUUGAACGUUGCGGGUCACUGUCGAAUGAAGUGACAUAGUUAAUGACUCACAAGUUUUAAUUACGGAAUACAGCAAAUAAUUCCCCGUCAAAAAAUAGAUCACCACGCGCAUUGGAAAACUGCUACUAGAUACGAUAAACACAAUCGAGCACUUAGCUUCUUUGACAACCAACCACUAGUGAGCGAAAGAUAAUUUGCAUUAGAAUUCAACAUUCAUACAAGACUAACCUAUUUUUGAAAAUUCUGGAUAAAUUCUAUAACUUAUCGACAAUUGACACUCUUGCAGGGAUGCAUUUAAUAAGAAGGAUAGCGAUAUUUUUUUUGCAUAUUUCAAGUAUCCGGAAAGAUGGAGAAUUUAAAUAUUGAAAUAAUACCAGGAUACAUUCAAAACUGCCGGUGUGUUAUGUUUCUUAUAAUCAUAGCCGAAACUAAACUAAACGCUAAACUUAAACUCUUCUAUUUCGUUCAACCGUGAACUCUUACUGAAUGUCAUACCAGAAGACAUCCCGGAAUGUGGCUCAGUCCGGAUUCUAAGUUAAAAUUUACUUCCUUCAUUGCAGUGUCCCCGGCAUGCGACAAAUACAGAGGUAAUUGCACAUUUGGAUUUUCCCUCCCUCGGUCGCCUAUCGUGGAUAGUGAAACACACCAUUAAGUCAUCGAUCUAUAUCGGUGUGGUUCAUGUCUUCAGUACUAACAAUCAAGUUCAGAUUGGCGACUCAUGGCACACUGCGUAUUGUGCUAGCUGGUUUUUGAAUACAGAAUCCUUCUGAUGAUCGCACAUCUAUUGCAUAAUUUGAGUAUUUGAGUUAAUAAACUUGACAACCACGAACUGGUGAUUGAUGGGAUUAUUGUUAAAUGGUGCUUUGAUUACGAUAUAAUUUUAGCUGAUCGCAAAGAACACGUAUCUUCGCUGGUAUAUGAUUUGCCUGUUGCACCAUUUGGGAGUCAUUCAAUAAUAGACUGAACCACACGUAUUAUGGUAUGCACAUCCGCUCGGAACGCCCGUUGAAUACGAAAUUAGCUAAUACUAUUCAGUUCGAAUUCUUUUGAUUUGUUUUGAGUCGCUGUUUGGAUAAUUUAAUUUCGUUUCUUAAAAUCGGGAUCAUUCGAGCUGGAGGCUAGUUAGUAAUACGUGCGACGUUCUAUUCAAUAAAUAUCAAAGCGGAGUUAGCUUACGCUCGAGUAUAAAAGUAAUUUGAACACCUUCAAUCAGUAUCAUUGCAUUCGAAGCCGUGGAUUUAGCUAGAGUUCUUGUAUCAAACGUGUUCAAAUCUAACUUACCGAAAUGGCUAUAAAAUUAGUAUCCCUACUCGCCCUUGUGCUGUUUGCUGUGAGUGUUCUAUCUGCUCCUGCCCCGAAACCGGACCCAAGAGCGCAACUAUAUGCCGCUUCUCCACUCGCAUACUCCGCAUAUUCUCCCUAUGCCUAUACGAAUUAUGUGUCACCCUACGCUAGCUACGCGUCGCCCUAUUCGUCGCUGGCAUAUCCUGGACUAGCAUACAGCUACUCAUAUCCGUAUGUUAUAUAAGUGGCAGCGAAGUUCAAACCAUCCUUCAGGAAACAGGACUUAAACAUGUGUGUAAAGUAGUGUGUUAAUAAAUAGUUGUACAAAUUUCCAAGUCUCAUCGAGCAA